GAUUAAAAGCCAAUUUUUUAAGAUUAAAACACAAAUGAUACAUGCACUUUGAGAAAAGCUUAAAAUUAAAGAAAUGAGAGUAUGAUAACAAAAAAACACAAAUGUCCCACUCCCACAUCACAGUAUUCAUUUUUUUUUUCUUAUCAAUUUCUUAAGCAGAUUCUUUUUCUUUCUUCUCUUCCUCUGGCUUGGCGUGGUAACCUGGAAGCUUCUCUUUGAUCUUUUCCAUAAAUCCCUUCUUCUCCUGCGGAUGCUCAGCAAUCGGCCGGUGUUGCUGUUUCAACCAGGGGUGUGGUGUUGACGACCUGUGAAUCCUCUGGUUUCUUGCUGUAGCCUGGAAGCUUCACCUUGAUCUUAUCCAUUAUGAAAACAAGAAGAAGAGCUGUUGUUGGAUCGGUGGAAUUUUUCGAUAAGAUUUGGCUUGUUCUCUUCUUCCUCCUCUCGUGCUUCUGGUGAAGCUGCUCGAGGAGAGUAGGCUUAUGCUCCUAAUUCUCUUCCUCUUUUUGGUGUUACGCCACGAACGGCUCAGGUUCAGAGAUUUGAGUCUUGUGCUCGAACUCAGACGCGAGAGUAGUCGUCUCUUGAGGUUUCACUUCCUCCUUUUUCUUCAAGAAAUCGAACAUUCCUCGUUCCUUAAUCUCAGGCGUCGUCGUCGUUGAUGAUUCCUCGUGCUCGGGAACGUUGUUCUUGUAUUCUUCCGCUGUAGUGUUAAUCUUGAAUCGAUUGAGAGGUUAACGAAAAUAAUAAACCGAAGCUUCGAAAUUCGAUUUGUGCUUUAAGUUGCUUUCCGAUGGUUUUCAA